GCACUCUUAGCUCAGUUGGUAGAGCAACUGACUCUUAAUCAGUGGGUCCAGGGUUCGAACCCCUGAGAGUGUACAA
rnacentral:tRNA from 3 species